CCCUUAGAUGUUCUGGGCUGCACGCGUGCUACACUGAUUACUUCAACAAGUGUUUUAACUGGAGAGUUCGCGUAAUCCUGAAAUGUUAUCGUGAUGGGAGUAGAGUAUUGUAUUUGUUAAUCUUUAACGAGGAAUUCCUAGUAAGUGUAGGUUUAUAAGUUGUUCUGAUUACGUCCCUGCCCUUUGUACACACCGCCCGUCGCUCCUACUGAUUGAAUGUCUCGGUGAAUUAUUUGAUCUUCUGUCGAUUCAGUUCACUGAUCCGACGGUGGAAAGUUGAAUGAACUUCGUCACUUAGAGGAAGGAGAAGUCGUAACA
rnacentral:rRNA from 1 species